rnacentral:rRNA from 1 species
ACUAACCAGGAUUCCCCUAGUAACGGCGAGUGAACAGGGAUUAGCCCAGCACCGAAGCCUGCGUCCGUUUGGGCGUUAGGCAAUGUGGUGUUUAGGUCUAUCGCUUUUGUAUACUACUUCGUUCCAAGUCCAAACUUGAAUAUGGCCCAUGUACGGCCCAGAGAGGGUGAAAGGCCCGUGGGGACGAGGUGGUGUGCGACUGCGUGGACCGUGGAGUCGGGUUGUUUGAGAAUGCAGCCCAAAGUUGGUGGUAAACUCCAUCUAAGGCUAAAUACUGGCACGAGUCCGAUAGCGAACAAGUACCGUGAGGGAAAGUUGAAAAGUACUCUGAAGAGAGAGUAAACAGUGCGUGAAACCGCUUAGAGGCAAACGGGUGUAGUCAAGCUGCAAGCCGUGGGAAAUUUGCGGAUCAGAAUGGCGUGAGCCUGAGCAUACUUGAUCUGGUUGUUGGCGCGUCUGGUAAGGCGUGUUCGGCUCGCAAGAGUCGGAUGAGUGCAGUGUCAUAUGAUGCGGCUUGCCAGUAGCUGGAAUGUUCUGCUGGUCCGAUGACUUUCUCAUGGCGUAUGUCACGACCGUUGCGACUGUCGGUCCGCUUCGUCUAAACCGUAGCGUGAGUAGCCUUGUGUUUCUUGCGUUGCGGGGGCAGGUAGCUAAUCUGGUUUCGGCCGGGUUGGUGUUAUCGCUGGGCGGAGUGGUAUCUGUGCAGGACAGCGGGGCUGGCGGUGCGUGGUACCGGGCGUGCUAAAGUGUGUCGGCAUGGCGUGAGUCUGGCCUCAUGUUGCUGUUUUUAACGGCCUUGGGGUGGCUCUGCUGUGGUUUGAUAUGCGGCGGCGGCCGGGUCAUCUUCGCGUUGUGCCUACAGUCUGUGGCGUAGUGGUAGACGAUCCACCCGACCCGUCUUGAAACACGGACCAAGGAGUUUAACAUGUGCGCGAGUCAAUGGGUAGUGAUAAUACUACGAAACCCAAAGGCGCAAUGAAAGUAAAAGGUUGGCAUUCCGCCUUCCUGAGGUGAGAUCCCGCUGUUUCUUAGCAUUUCAAUCAGGCUCUAGAGCAGUGGGCGCAUCACCGGCCCGUCACAUGGUGUAGUAUGGCUUGCUGUACAGCAUCGUGGCGGAGCAUGAGCGUACAUGUUGAGACCCGAAAGAUGGUGAACUAUGCUUGCACAGGUUGAAGCCGGAGGAAACUCUGGUGGAGGACCGUAGCGAUUCUGACGUGCAAAUCGAUCGUAUGAUGUGAGUAUAGGGGCGAAAGACUAAUCGAACCAUC